GACGAACGCUGGCGGCGUGCUUAACACAUGCAAGUCGAACGAAGUGGCGCACGGGUGAGUAACGCGUAAUCAACCUGCCCUUCAGAGGGGGACAACAGUUGGAAACGACUGCUACUACCGCAUACUGAAGGAGGGGAUUGCGUUUGAUUAGCUAGUUGGCGGGGUAACGGCCCACCAAGGCGAUGAUCAGUAGCCGGUCUGGGGGGAUGAACGGCCACAUUGGGACUGGGGCACGGGCCAGACUCCUACGGGGGGGAGGAGUGGGGAAUCUUCCGAAAUGGACGAAAGUCUGGCGGAGGAACGCCGCGGGAGUGAUGGCGGGCUUCGGGUUGGAAAGCUCUGUUAAUCGGGACGCGGUACCGGAAUAGAAAGCCACGGCUAACUACGUGCCAGCAGCCGCGGUAAUUC
rnacentral:rRNA from 1 species